rnacentral:rRNA from 1 species
CCGUGUGGACUGAAAAUAAGUAGGGAAGCACGUGAGCUGACUGUCAAGAAAAGCCGCUAUUGUUUGCAGGAUACCCGUACCGUAAACCGACACAGGUGGAUGAGGAGAGAAUCCUAAGGCCGACGGGAGAAGCAUUGUUAAGGAACUCGGCAAAAUGACUCCGUAACUUCGGGAGAAGGAGUGCCAGUAAGAUGGCCGCAGAGAAUUGGCCCAAGCAACUGUUUAGCAAAAACACAGGUCUAUGCAAAACCGAAAGGUGAGGUAUAUGGGCUGACGCCUGCCCGGUGCUGGAAGGUUAAGGGGAGAGGUUAGCGCAAGCGAAGCUUUGAACUUAAGCCCCAGUAAACGGCGGCCGUAACGAUAACGGUCCUAAGGUAGCGAAAUUCCUUGUCGGGUAAGUUCCGACCCGCACGAAAGGCGUAAUGAUUUGGGCACUGUCUCAACAAUGCACCCGGUGAAAUUGAAAUACCAGUGAAGAUGCUGGUUACCUGCGCCAGGACGGAAAGACCCCGUGGAGCUUUACUCCAGCUAGAUACUGGGAUUCGGUAUUGCAUGUACAGGAUAUGUGGGAGGCUAGGAAAUGGUAACGCCAGUUGCCAUGGAGCCAAUGUUGGGAUACCACCCUUGCAGUACUGGGUUUCUAACCAGCAGCCGUGAUCCGGCUGGGGGACAAUGUCAGGUGGGGAGUUUGACUGGGGCGGUCGCCUCCGAAAGGGUAUCGGAGGCGCUCAAAGGUUCCCUCAGAAUGGUUGGAAACCAUUCGAAGAGUGCAAAGGCAGAAGGGAGCUUGACUGCGACACCGACGGGUGGAGCAGGUACGAAAGUAGGACUUAGUGAUCCGGUGGUAUAAAGUGGGAUUGCCAUCGCUCAACGGAUAAAAGCUACCCUGGGAUAACAGGCUUAUCACUCCCAAGAGUUCACAUCGACGGAGUGGUUUGGCACCUCGAUGUCGGCUCAUCGCAUCCUGGGGCUGAAGUAGGUCCCAAGGGUUGGGCUGUUCGCCCAUUAAAGCGGUACGCGAGCUGGGUUCAGAACGUCGUGAGACAGUUCGGUCCCUAUCCGGCGUGGGCGUAAGAUAUUUGAGAGGAGCUGUCCUUAGUACGAGAGGACCGGGAUGGACUGGCCGCUGGUGUAUCUGUUGUCUUACCAAAGGCAUAGCAGAGUAGCCAAGCCGGGAAGGGAUAAACGCUGAAGGCAUCUAAGCGUGAAGCCCCCCUCAAGAUGAGAUAUCUCAUAACGUCAAGUUAGUAAGACCCCUUGAAGACGACGAGGUAGAUAGGGCAGAGGUGGAAGUGUGGUAACACAUGGAGCUGACUGUUACUAAUAGGUCGAGGGCAUAACCAA